rnacentral:rRNA from 1 species
UACGGAGGGUGCAAGCGUUAUCCAGAUUUACUGGGUUUAAAGGGUGCGUAGGUGGGUAGGAAAGUCAGUGGUGAAAUCUUCGGGCUUAACCCGGAAACUGCCAUUGAUACUAUUUAUCUUGAAUACUUUGGAGGUAAGCGGAAUAUGUCAUGUAGCGGUGAAAUGCUUAGAUAUGACAUAGAACACCAAUUGCGGAGGCAGCUUACUACACAGUUAUUGACACUGAGGCACGAAAGCGUGGGGAUCAAACAGG